rnacentral:rRNA from 1 species
GUGUCAGCAGCCGCGGUAAUACAGAGGGUGCAAGCGUUAAUCGGAAUUACUGGGCGUAAAGCGCACGUAGGUGGUCAUGUAAGUCGGGUGUGAAAUCCCCGGGCUCAACCUGGGAACUGCAUUCGAGACUGCAUGGCUAGAGUACGGUAGAGGAGGGCGGAAUUCCCGGUGUAGCGGUGAAAUGCGUAGAUAUCGGGAGGAACAUCAGUGGCGAAGGCGGCCCUCUGGACCAGUACUGACGCUCAGGUGCGAAAGCGUGGGGAGCAAACAGGAUUAGAAACCCCAGUAGUCC